UACGUAGGGACCAAGCGUUGUUCGGAUUUACUGGGCGUAAAGGGCGCGUAGGCGGCGUGACAAGUCACUUGUGAAAUCUCUGGGCUUAACCCAGAACGGCCAAGUGAAACUGUUGUGCUAGAGUGCAGAAGGGGCAAUCGGAAUUCUCGGUGUAGCGGUGAAUGCGUAGAUAUCGAGAGGAACACCAGAGGUGAAGACGGGUUGCUGGGCUGACACUGACGCUGAGGCGCGAAAGCCAGGGGAGCAAACGGG
rnacentral:rRNA from 1 species